UACGGAGGGUGCAAGCGUUGUCCGGAUUUAUUGGGUUUAAAGGGUGCGUAGGCGGCCCGUUAAGUCCGGGGUGAAAGCCCACUGCUCAACAGUGGAACUGCCCUGGAAACUGGCGGACUUGAGUACAGACGAGGGUGGCGGAAUGGAUGGUGUAGCGGUGAAAUGCAUAGAUACCAUCCAGAACCCCGAUUGCGAAGGCAGCUGCCUAGACUGUAACUGACGCUGAGGCACGAAAGCGUGGGGAGCGAACAGG
rnacentral:rRNA from 1 species